rnacentral:rRNA from 1 species
AUUGAACGCUGGCGGCAGGCUUAACACAUGCAAGUCGAACGAGCGGCGGACGGGUGAGUAAUGUAUGGGGAUCUGCCUGAUGGAGGGGGAUAACUACUGGAAACGGUAGCUAAUACCGCAUACCAUCAGAUGAACCCAUAUGGGAUUAGCUUGUAGGUGAGGUAACGGCUCACCUAGGCGACGAUCCCUGGCUGGUCUGAGAGGAUGAUCAGCCACACUGGGAUUGCGACACGGCCCAGAGUCCGACGGGAGGCAGCAGUGGGUAAGAGUGCACAAUGGGCGCAAGCCUGAUGCAGCAAUGCCGAGUGUAUGAAGAAGGCCUGCGGGUUGUAAAGUACUUUCAGUCGGGAGGCGUUACCGACAGAAGAAGCACCGGCUAACUCCGUGCCAGCAGCCGCGGUAAUAC